UGUUAUUUAAAUUGUAAUUUUGUUAAAUAGAGUAGUAUUAGAUAUGUUCUUAAAACUUAAUAAAUUUGGCGGUAUUUUACUCUAUUCAGAGGAACUUGUUUUAUAAUUGAUAAUCCUCGUUUAAUCUUACUUAAUUUUAUUAAAUUUGUAUAUCGUCGUCAUAAGAAUUUCUAAAAAAAGUAAAAAUUUUCUAAAAUUUUUAUUAAUAAUAAUGUCAGAUAAAGGUGCAGUUUAUAAUUAAGAAAAAAUAAGUUACAAUAAAUUUAUUUAAAGGUGGAUAUAAUAAUUAAAUUUAUUAUUGAAAUUGGAUUUGAUAGUAAAUUAAAAAAUUAAAUUUAAUUGAUUUUAGUUCUAAAAUAUGUACAAAUCGCCCG
rnacentral:rRNA from 1 species